rnacentral:rRNA from 1 species
AGUGAACGCUGGCGGUAGGCCUAACACAUGCAAGUCGAACGGCAGCACAGUAAGAGCUUGCUCUUACGGGUGGCGAGUGGCGGACGGGUGAGGAAUACAUCGGAAUCUACUUUUUCGUGGGGGAUAACGUAGGGAAACUUACGCUAAUACCGCAUACGACCUACGGGUGAAAGCAGGGGAUCUUCGGACCUUGCGCGAUUGAAUGAGCCGAUGUCGGAUUAGCUAGUUGGCGGGGUAAAGGCCCACCAAGGCGACGAUCCGUAGCUGGUCUGAGAGGAUGAUCAGCCACACUGGAACUGAGACACGGUCCAGACUCCUACGGGAGGCAGCAGCGGGGAAUAUUGGACAAUGGGCGCAAGCCUGAUCCAGCCAUACCGCGUGGGUGAAGAAGGCCUUCGGGUUGUAAAGCCCUUUUGUUGGGAAAGAAAUCCAGCCGGCUAAUACCUGGUUGGGAUGACGGUACCCAAAGAAUAAGCACCGGCUAACUUCGUG